AUAGGAGUGAAUUUGUUGCUUUUUAAAGCGGCAGUCGGUCUGUACAUGUGUGAGGUGGCGAGGGGUGUCGCCAGGGGGCGGCUAGUAGCGUCUGCCACCAGGGAAAUAUGUAAAAACAUAAAAAAGACGCUUCUCAAGAAAGAGAGGGGCAGUCGGUCUGUACAUGCGUGAGGUGGCGAGAGGCGUGUCCAGGGGGCGGCUAGUAGCGUGUGCCACCGUGGAAAUAUGUACAGACAUAAAGAAGACGCCCUCAAGAAAGGCCUGAGUCCAGACCGAGACCCAGAGAAAUGUAAACAAACGCACCAGUCAGACUUGAUAUAGGAGUGAAUUUGUUGCUUUUUAAAGCGGCAGUCGGUCUGUACAUGUGUGAGGUGGCGAGGGGUGUCGCCAGGGGGCGGCUAGUAGCGUCUGCCACCAGGGAAAUAUGUAAAAACAUAAAAAAGACGCUUCUCAAGAAAGAGAGGGGCAGUCGGUCUGUACAUGCGUGAGGUGGCGAGGGGCGUGUCCAGGGGGCGGCUAGUAGCGUGUGCCACCAUGGAAAUAUGUACAGACAUAAAGAAGACGCCCUC